rnacentral:misc_RNA from 1 species
GGGCACGGACCCGUGUGU